CUUGAAUGCUGGGGACGGAUCCACCCGGCUGGGUACAGGGUGAGUUCCACGCAGCCAGCCGUCAAGAUAACUUUAUCAAGGACGCGGAAUCAGAUUUCAGAGAAUACAGUGGACAGCCUUGGAAGGCACUUGGAAGUUUCCAGUCCUAUCCUGGCCAGCUCAGUGCACCCCUCUGUGAAGAGCUUAUGGUCCUUGGGAGCAGUGGCCAGUUACAGUGUGCACAGGAAGGCAUUUCAGUAAUCAUUCAGCGAGAUGGAGAAUCUUCUCCCACUUCCCCUACGGGAAAGGACAAUGUAGUCUCUGCACAUGAACCCACUGCUCCUUCUUGGACCCUGGGGUACAUUCCAAAGGGGUGUUGACAUCUCACCGCAGAGACUUGGAGUGUAAGAAGAGCAAAUUGCUCACAGGCCUCUAUGCCAGCAGAGCUCUCUGGAAGCCACUGGAUCUUGUCUGGAAUCCCUUCUAAUUAGGUACAAUAAAACGGAUCGCAUACAUGUUCAUAGCAGCAUUAUUCCCAAUAGCCAAAAGGUGGAAGCAACCCAAAUGGUGAAUGGAUAAACACAUUCAUGUUAUGGCCCAUGAUGGAAUAUCACUCAGUUGUAAAAAGGAAUGAUGUCCUGAUUAAUGCUGCCACAUGGAAUAACCUUGAAAACAUGCUAGGAGGUGAAACAAGCCAGACACAAAAGCCACAUUUUGUAGGAUUCAAUUUCAUUAUUGGUUGAUUUGAGAAUCAAUGUUUUUAUGUAUUCUCGCAUUGCCCAAUUCCAAAAAGGGUUUGGAGCAGCUUACAAACAUGCCCACGCAAAGGGAGCCACAAAAUAAUGGCAAACUGACAAUGGAACGGAGGGUGAAGGAAGAAAUGGUGAAUAUUAGACUUGUGGUGCACAACCCAACAACGUGCAACGUUCACUUAUCAACCAGGCAGGUUUACUUAGGACAGAAGAAAAACCUGAUGUGGCUACACCAUUCUGUCUGAUUCCAUUUACAUGGAAUGCCAGAAUAGGCAAAUUCAUAGAGGGAGAAAGUAAAUUCGUGGUUCCAGCGGCUGAGAGAAGGGGUUCAUGAGGAGUUACUACUUAAUGGGAACAGGAUAUCCUUUUGGGGUGUGAUGAAGAUUCUCUGAAAUUAGAAGAUGGUGAUGGUUGCACAACCUUGUGAAUAUGCUUAAACCAUUGAAUUGUACAUUUUAAAUGGGUGAAUUUAAGGUUAUGUGAAUUGUAUCUCUAUAAAAAUAUUGGGUUACAUUAUAAAAUUGGAAAAAAAAAGAAAGAUCGAUGACCUCUUUACUUCUAUGUUUUCCCUUAGAAAUGGAAACCAGAUAUAUGUUUCAAUAUUGAUUUGGUGAUGCUUGGUUUCUUUAAAGGAGAAAAAAUUUCUGUGGAUAAGUGAUAAGGUGGCUUGAGAGGCUGUCCACGGACCCAGCAGUAUGGGGGGAGGAAUCCCCCUGUGGAGACAGCACAGGUGAUUGUCCAGGCCUGAGAAAGGCAAGGCUCUUGUAGAGCUCGCAAAGCUCAGUGUAAGAAAAUAAAUGGGAGCAGGCACACAUUACCCUUGGAGCCAGACAACCUGGGUUCACAUCCUGGCCACGCCACUAAGAGCUGUGUGACCUUAAGCAGAUUGCCUAAACUCUCUGUGCUUAAAUGACCUCAUCGACAAGAUGAGGAAACUAAUAGUACCUACCUUGAUGCAUGCUUUUGGGGGAUUCAAUGAUGAAUUGUCAUCUGUAAAGAGACCCAGAGUUCUGUAAACUGCUAUGUGUAUUUUUAUCAAAGAAAAUAAUCUAGUAA
rnacentral:lncRNA from 1 species